UUGUUUUGGUUGUGAACAGAAAACAUAAAUGUGGUUCAUUUUACACCUUUGCAGAAAAGCUGCUGAAAAUAAACUCAAAUGGGAGCAAAGCAGGAAGUUCAGAAAAUAAAUGUAUUUUUGUGUUUGUGUUUUUGGUUUGGUUUUACAGACUUGGUCAACUGUUAUCUAAACCUUUCUUCUUAAUGGGCAUCAAAAUACAAUCCAUUUCUUGUGCUGCCAUGUGGGCCUCUAUUGCCUCAAUAAACAUAUAUUUCAAAUGUUUAGUUGAUUUUGAUAAUGAAAAUCUGAACCUGAAUCAGCAUGGAGGAGUCAGCCGGAGGAGAGAGUGGUCAGGGGUGGACUGGGACCAAAAUUCGGCCCUGGCAUUUUUACGAAUCGCUGGCCCUCAGUCGGCCCUCCCCAUUGGGAGAGUGGUGGGGGUGGGGUGUGUUGCCGCCCGCGGACUCGUCUCUAGGCCGAAUGUGAGAUCUAAUAUGGACUGGGACUGUUAAAUUACAAGCAGGGCCAGACCGCUGCGACUGGGAGCCCUGGCCUUCCAGAUCAGCGGGACAUUAGCUACACGCUAACACGGUAAAACAACUCCUACGUCAUCGCUCUACUGCACAUUUCUUGCUAAAAAUGCCUGGAAAAACUCUGUUGGCUUCAGGAUUCCAUGUAGCUAAUGUUCUGCAGAUCACCAACUGUGGAGUAGUGUCGGCGUAAGCUGGGCAAGCAGCCCACUUGGCUAAGCAGCCCACAGGAAUAGUGCCAGAAUGCCAGAUAGGCCAGUCCACCCCUGAGCGUGGUACACGACAAGAUUUGGAGAUUUAUAUCCUGAUAUUUGGACAUCUCUCCUCAGAUUGGAUAACAGCAAUGUGACUCUUCUUCUAAGUCAGUUUGCUUUUCAACACUGAAGUUUUAUCUCCACAAAGAAGACAAACCUGAAGAAGCUCUGCUGUGAGGUGGAGUUGCUAACGCUAACAGUUAGCUCUUACUAGCCGAGAUGUUCUCUGCUAUUUUCUGGACGCUAAAACAACAGCCUUUCCUGUCGUGAGCCAAGAUGGGUGACAGCGGAGGGGGCCGCAGCUGCAGAACAUCUCCAAUCAGGGACGCGGGUAUAAAAGGAGGAUGGUGACAUCUCAUUACGCCGGAUGAUUGCUCCUGUAUAGAAUUCUAUUCAACCUGCCUCAACCUGCUGUUUUGCUGACUGGACAUUCACACCACGUCCCAUCCUCCUCCGCUGUGCUUGGUUGGAUCCCUUCCGCUGUCUAACCUGUUUCCUGAUCACCCCUGGACUGACUUGAGCUCACCUCGGCUUCCUCACCUCGUUCUCCCCGAACAUUUAUGGACUCAAGCUACUGCUCACCCUCUCCACAGGACUUCCCUGUGCACCUUUUGUUCCAGUUAGUAAAUAAAGACUUUAAUUUCAUCCUACCUGCUCGUCGAGUCAGAUUACUGCAUGUCUUGGGUUAAACACAUUCCACGAGACAUGACAACUUUACCGUCUAUAUACAUAUGAACUGGAUUCAGUUUUUCAUUUUGUUAAGGAAUUUAAUCAUAAAUCAUUACAGAAAAUCAAAAUCCUCACCU